GCUUCAGUUUACAAAUUAUAGAUUGCUACUAGGGUUAUUAACCAUGGUUACUGUGUUUGGGCAGACACGGCACGGAAGUUGGAUGAGACCGUCAAGGAGGAAAAUCUUUCUGGACAAACUCUAGGGGAGAAACUUUGGAGUUUUCUUAUGUGGUGGCGUCAGGAAAAUCCGGUUGAUGAUGCUCCUGUGUCACCUGGACAAUAGUGUGGUAUAAAUUAUUUGUGUGAUGUGCACCUUACAUAAAAAGAGUUCUUUUACUAUAAUAAAGCCCUUUUCAGUAUGAGGUAUUUGUUAUAUAGUUUUGCAAGUUGUUUACUAAAGUAAUUCGAAUAUUUGGUCAGGAUAUGAUGUUGCAUUGUCUGUUCUCACUUCUCAGUCUUUGGUCACUUCUCAAUCCUGCUGUGGUAGGAAAAAUUAGUUGCAUCAUAUGGAAAUGCAGGGAUAAAUUGCAGGAGCCCAAUAAUAUGUAGAUGCUGGUGACCUUGUUCAUGUUUUGUCAUUCUUCAAAAUGUAACCAGUUAUCAGGAUACCAAAGAACUGACUUGUAGACCUUGUGACAAGGACGUGGUGGUGUGCCCUCGCUGACCUGGGUUUAAAUCUUCUGGAUCCAAUUAAGUUAGGCCAAAUCUAGCCGACCCCCUAAAAAUAGAGGCGCAAAACGGCCAAGUAACUUAGUGGAGUAUAUUUACUCCACUAAGUUUUGGUCGGACCUAGUCGAACUCCUAAAUUUAGCGGAAUAAAAAAGCAAUUUUUCAUAAAUUCUACAUAAAUUUGAUUUAAACAACCGAAUUUCGACACAAUGUAUGUAAGCAUCCGCCGAAACAUAGUCUAGUUUAAAACUAGAUAUGAACUUGAACUUAAAACUAAACAUAAUUUAAAUUAUAAACCACCAAAGUAAAGUCAAACUAAGACCUUAAUCGUCAGACUUAUAGAGGGCAAGUAAAUCCGCCCACGAAAUCCCACCGCCCAUUGGGUCUGGCCCUGUGCCGCCGUCGCCGCUGUCAGGGACGAUCCUUCGCCAUUCUUCAACAUCAAAGUCGUCGUCACCCCGCCAUCCUUCUCAUCGUCCGAGAGGACGAUGACCUCCCUGUCGGCCAUGCGCUUUGCCUCCGUGAAGAUCUUGCGUUCGCUAUGGAGGUCGGGGUACUGGCCUCGAAGGUCCGCCAUGUACUCAUCGGCGGUGGCCUCCGCAACGAUGCCCUUCCUCGCCUCUCGGUCCUCCCUAGCCACCGCCGCACUCACCACCCCCACGGCGGCGGGUCGUGCUCGACGGGCGCCAAACCUCACGGUAAGUUGAGGGGAAUUCAUAGAUUGGUAGUGCCAAUUAAUGGAUGUGUCUCACAUUCUUUGACAAGAGGGGAGCCAGUACACGGCCUUGGUACCAAAGAACGUAAGAAAGAGCCCUCUAAAAGCACGAUGGAAGGUAGCUCCCGUGAUAGAGGCAAAGGUGUCCCGUCUUUCGAUGAGAUGGUGACUAUCAUUUUUGUUGGAGUAGACUUUCACGAUCCGACUACGAACGUGCAUGAUUCUCCUUUAUAGCUCGCCUUCACAAUCGGAGCUGCCCCUUCAUCGACACCGACUAUUUGGCAGUUAUUUGAUGGCUUCAGCAAUGGUCGCCCGCGGUUAAGACGGAGUCGCUUGGUCGAGGAGUGAUGAUGGAUAAACUUGUGUGUUGCCUCGACGAUGUUUUUUCUUGUUCACGGUAUGUCAUUUUUGUCUAUUGUGAGCCAGGUCGCACAGGCUAUGUACCCAAAUGUUGCCAUCCUUGACGGUAGGUUUAUCCACCAAUUAUCAGAGCACUUCUUUAUUUCUAAGUCAAUGGACUGUGUAAGGCGUUUGGUCUCCGUUUUAGAAAAAAGAAGUACAAGGAGCUGUUCAGUCCCAACAGCCAACAAUGAUUGACCGAAGGAUCACAAAAUUUCUUUGUAGCUCAAGCUACAUGGAACCUCUUAUCCUCAACCCUCCAACCUUGCUUUGAGAUCCGUACUCUCCAACUAACUAACAACAAGAAGAUUUAUCUUUUUUGUUUCUCGAAAACGAAACAACAUAUGAACUUCAAACUUUGCAGAUCGAACAAAUAUUAGAACAUCAAUGUGUGAAAAAACUUUCAGAUUUUUUGGUCUGAUAUAAAUAUACAAAAUGAGAUUUUCUUUGAAUAAAAAUAUUAUUUCAAGUAUUUAAAAUGCAUGAAAAAAUCUGAAAGUUUUUUCCCUAGAUUGUAGUUAGAAUGUAUUGUUGUUCUGCAAAAGUUAAAGUUCAUAUGUUGUGUCGUUUGAGAGAAACAAAAAAGACAAAUGUGUCUGCACGGAUCUUGAUGCAUAAAUGGAUGGCAUAGAUAAGGGGUAUCGUGUAGCCUGAGCUACAGAAAACCACACUCACAAAGUUUCUUCCUAGCCCGAGCUCCACGGUACCUACUAUCUGGCCCGUUGGUCUGCUUCGAGAUUUGUGCUGAAAAGGAGCAUCACGGGCGCCAGCUGUUCCCUGUAGUGUCAUUAGCAGGUGCGGACUGCAUGCAGUUACUGACCUGUGCUCUCUGUGUGGACCAGCCCUCUCUCUGCUGUCUGCAUGCAGGCACUGUAGCCACGUGAGGUUGCCAGUAAUUGAAGUAGAGAGAGAGAGUCUGCGCAUUCAAAAUUGAGAGAGAGAGAUGUUGUUGUGCAAUUGUUUUUUCAGAAGAUUUAAAGAGAGAGAGGUAUGCACGGGAUGAUAGAGAGAGGAGAGCAUAAAGGCAGAGAGAGAAGAUGGGCAUGCAACGGAUGACACAGGAACAGUCUGUGAAAGUCAGAGGCAUAUGCAAGUGCAAUGUCAUAAACAGUAGUAGCCCAAACGAGGCAUGGCAGCGAUGCAACUAAGCUAACACAUGCAAGAUAUAUAUUCUUCUUCUCUUUAAUCUUGUUUGUUUAGGCAGAGAAACAAUAUCCAACAAUAUAUGUUAUAGGUAGUACGCUCGUGCUGAUUUAUUCCCGAAAUAGUACGUCGCUUUCCGUCAACGACAACCACAUAUUGACAAAAGGAGAAGAGCUCCGUUGGUGUGAGAGAGAAGUAUGAGAAUUUUUUAUCUGGCAUGUACUGUAGCCAUGCAAUUGCGGUGUCAGAAUCGAUACUGAGCUAGCCAGCCAUUCAGUUUUUUAUUCAUGUAGUUACUGUUGAGGUAGGCCUGCAAUCCUUGUUGUAGCUGAUGUAUCUGGGACAAAUCCUCACACACCGGAGCCUUAUUUGGACGGUUAUGAUAGUGGGUACCGUGUAGCUCGUCCUACAAAAAACCACUCUCCGAAUCAAAUAAGUGGUGAUGCUCCAGCAUCUAGCUAGUAUAUAUCCACACCACCUCCUCCUCUCUCCUUCCUCUCCAUUUCCUCUGUGGUGCCGACCUCACCCACCCCCUGCAGCCUCAAGCUCGUCCACCGUAGCUGCGGCCUCCUCAUGGCUCAUCAUGCGACGGACGUCCAUCAGUGGUGAUGCCUCCUUCUCCCCUAGCUAAUUACUGUGCUUUGUGCCUCCCAUCGUGCUUGGUCGCCAUGGCCGGGUCCCGGGUGGAGCAUCGACCGGAUGAGGGAAAUCUCACGCCGUGAUCGCCUGAGAGAACUACUUGUGGCUGCUUACUUGUUGUUUCGUAGGCUCUCCGCCACGGGUGCCCUCCUGGAUGAAGACACUUCGCUAUGGCUGUCGCCGGGAGAUAACCCGGCUGAUGGUGGAUUGCUCGUUGGUUCAAAUGGAGACACGUAUUAUAUGCCACCUGGUAAUCAUAUUCCUCAUCUCUCAUCUUGCUUUAUACUAUAUCACCUUCGUUUUUGCAUCAUCUAGAUUCUAGAUUGGGCAGUGUACGCUGCUGCUGGUAGUAAAGAGAAAGGAAAGAAAAAGGAAAUUGUUGUGAUGUUAGACUGUAAUCUGAACGAUUUCGUGACUAUGUUUUGGUGGAAAUCCUUGAGCAUUGAGAGAGAUUCUUCUGUUUAAAAAUUAUAGCUUGCUACUAUCAUUAACCAAUGGUUAUUGUGUUUGGACAGACACAGCAGGGAAGUUGGAUGAGACUGUCAAGGAGGAAAAUCUUUCUGGACAAACUCUAGGGGAGAAACUUUGGAGUUUUCUUGUGUGGUGGCGUCAGGAAAAUCCGGAUGAUGAUGCUCCUGUGUCACCUGGACAAUAGUGUGGUAUAAAUUAUUUGUGUGAUGUGCACCUUACAUAAAAAGAGUUCUUUUACUAUAAUAAAGCCCUUUUCAGUAUGAGGUAUUUGUUAUCUAGUUUUGCAAGUUGUUUGUUAAAGUCAUUCGACUAUUUGGUCACGAUGGG
rnacentral:lncRNA from 1 species